UUGCAACAUUUUGUAACAUAACUCAAUUUUAUUUGUUAGGUACCAACAUAUUUUAUAUGUUAGAACAUAUUUUUUUAUGGGUGCGGAGAGGAUUUUUUUCAAAGAGCUAAACAACAGAGCUCUCGAUUACUUUUGAAUUGGUGUUAUAGGUGACUUAAAAGAAGACAGGAGGGUGAGAAGUCUGUUUUUGCGUUGAUGAUGUGUUGGCUUGGUUGGCCGCACAACAAAGCAGAACCGAAACAUUUUUUGCUCUCUUCCAAAUAUAACUGUAAAUAGAAGUUGUAUGUAUGCAUGAACAUUAGUAAGAAGUAACGUCUCAGCAACAACUAGAAAAUACACACCGCACAACAACAACAACGAAAAAACUUUUUGCAUGUUUUUUCGUUGCUGUUGUGCGGUGUGAAUUUUCUAGUUGUUGCUGAGACGUUACUUCUUACUAAUGUUCAUGCAUACAUACAUACAUGCGUUUUUCGCAUUAACACCGACAUAUAUACAGAGGAGUCAAUUUUUUUGUGUGUUGUUGUUGUAACGUUUUCUUUCUCAAGUAGGCAUUUUUUGGUGCAUGGACAAUAGAAAAGAAAUAAACGUCUCAGCAACAGUUUCCAUCCCUCUUGCCGCGCACACACCACACAUAGUUACAGCAGCGAUCGGCAGUGUUUGCUUGGUGAGAGCAAAAGAGCGUAACAUUGGCGCGUGUCUCAAGUUGAGAUGGGAUGGAAACUGUUGCUGAGACGUUUAUUUCUUUUCUAUUGUCCAUGCACCAAAAAAUGCCAACAACAACACACAAAGAGCUGUUUGGAUGUUUUUUUGUUGCUGAGACGUUGCUUCUUACUAAUGUUCAUGCAUACAUACAUGCGUUUUUCGCAUACACACCGAUUUGCUUGAUGAGAACAAAAGAGCGUAACAUUUGCGCGUGUCUCAUGUUGGCAUUCUGGUUGUGUUCUUUUUUUAUUCUUUUUAUUUGUUUUGUGCCUUCGCGUCGUGUCACAAGUGUUGUAAUAAAUGUUGAUACCAACUGUUUUGGGGGAAGACAAAUUAUUUGUCGAAGCGCCGGAGCCUUUAAAUCUACAAAGCUUUAUAAAAGCAGCCAAAUUAGAGUUAAAAUUGAUGCCUCAAGAAAAAUAACAGCCUUAGAGUUUGGUGCAACCAUUAAAGAAGACCAGUUUGAAAAAGUAAUUCAUCAAUAUAUGUCAACACCUACUUUUCAUAUUGAGUUGCAAUUUGGAGACUCCGUUCGAUCAGUGGCAUCAGCAUCGACCGUUAGUGGCACUCUAUCGGAGUGUGAAUCCGUAGGUGGUUUUGGGGAUCUUACCCCAAAAACAAAUGUUAUUUCAACUUUAAAGACUGACAUAGAGUCCAUCAAGUCAAUUCCGGCUAUCAACAAAAUAUGGAGAAUUUUUAUUGCCGAAAAACGCCUGCAAAAUAAAGAUAGGGUGAAUUUUUCGAAGGCCCUUAUUGACGAAUGUCUAAAAGAAGACCCUAACAGAUUACUUAAACGUGAAGAUUUUGAAGUUCUGAAGUUAUAUUAUAUAUUAUAACAUGUAUGAAUUUCUUUUAUGUUAAAUAAAAUGUGAAUAUC